UACAGAGGGGGCAAGCGUUGUUCGGAAUUACUGGGUUUAAAGGGCGCGUAGGCGGCCUUCUAAGUCGAACGUGAAAUCCCCGGGCUCAACCCGGGAACUGCGUCCGAUACUGGAAGGCUUGAAUCCGGGAGAGGGAUGCGGAAUUCCAGGUGUAGCGGUGAAAUGCGUAGAUAUCUGGAGGAACACCGGUGGCGAAGGCGGCAUCCUGGACCGGCAUUGACGCUGAGGCGCGAAAGCCAGGGGAGCAAACGGG
rnacentral:rRNA from 1 species